rnacentral:rRNA from 1 species
AGGGUGUAAACGCUGCAGACUUGGUGUUGGAAGUCCUUUGGGGGCAUUCAGUGCCGGAGAGAAGUUGUUAAGUCUGCUACUUGGGGAGUACGUCCGCAAGGAUGAAACUUAAAGGAAUUGGCGGGGGAGCACCGCAACCGGGAGGAGCGUGCGGUUUAAUUGGAUUCAACACCGUAAAACUCACCAGGGAAGACUGUUACAUGAAGGCCGAGAUGAAGACUCUGCUAGAUUUUCAGAGAGGUGGUGCAUGGCGUCAGUGACU